rnacentral:rRNA from 1 species
UUACGGCCAGGGCUACACACGUACUACAAUGGUCGGUACAGAGGGCAGCGAGACCGUCGAGGUGGAGCCAAUCCCAGAAAACCGAUCUCAGUCCGGAUUGGAGUCUGCAACUCGACUCCAUGAAGUCGGGAAUCGCUAGUAAUCGCGGAUCAGCCAUGCCGCGGUGAAUACGUUCCCGGGCCUUGUACACACCGCCCGUCACACCAUGGGAGUGGGCUGCACCAGAAGCCGGUAGUCU